GUGGAUAACCUACCUAUCUGACUGGGAUAACUUCGGGAAACCGAGCUAAUACCGGAUAAUAUAUUGAACCGGAUGGUUCUUAAUGAAAUACGGUUUUGCUAUCGCUUAUAGAUGGAUCCGCGCCUCAGUGACUAAUUGGUAAGGUAACGGCUUAACAAGGAAACGAUGCGUAACCGACCUGAGAGGGUGAGCGACUACACUGGAACUGAGACACGGUCCGGACUCCUCCGGGAGGAAUCAUUAGGGAUUCUUCCGCAAUGGGCGAAAGCCUGACGGAACAACGCCGCGUGAGUGAUGAAGGUCUUCCGAUCGUAAAACUCUGUUAUUAGGGAAGAACAAAUGUGUAAAUAACUAUGCACCUCUUGACGGUACCUAAUCAGAAAGCCACCGCUAACUACGUGCCUCACCCGCGGUAAUACGUAAAUGGCAAUCGUUAUC
rnacentral:rRNA from 1 species